rnacentral:misc_RNA from 1 species
CCGGACAACACUGAUUUUUUGGAGCUCCGCAAAUCAACGAUUUAUUGAGCCAUGCCCCUUCCCGCAGCCUUGCUGUGUCUCCUAGGCCUAUUACAGCACCUAGGCCUAGUCCAGGGGAACUCGAGCGGCGCCCCUGAAUCCGCCUGUGCCUGGAUGUCCCCCUGGCACGAGCCCUACACGGAGCCCCAGGCAGGUCCUUCGCCUUACUCUUUCAGGCUCUAUGAGAAGGAGCUGAUGGCGGGAGGGCUCGUGGCGGUCUGCCUGGUGGGAAACGAGCCUUUUUCCGGUUUCAUGAUCCAGGCGCAUGACGGAUCGGGCACUGUCAUGGGUACUUGGCCAGGCAGUCAGCUGACCUCCGCCGCUCAGCCGAUGUCAUGCGAGAAUCAGAAUGACACGGUGACCCACGUGAGCAGUGCCAUGAAACAACUGGUGCCUCUUAAGUGGCAGUCUCCCGUAGACUACGCGGGCGAUGUCGUUUUCAAGGCCGCUGUUGUGAAAGACUACACUACCUUCUGGACAGAUGUCACUUCGGGAACUUUUACACUCCGGGUCCCUUAAAAGAGGCGUUCAGCUUCUUUGAUAAAGUUACGGAAAAACAAGAAUAGAUUAGCUUUGUCACCUUGUACGUAAAUUACCUUUAUAAAUUUCGACCAAAGAACAAAUCUCCAGUUAAAUUGUAUUCAUAGUAAACUACUGUGCAUUAAUACACUACGACAAGCAUUG